AGCUCCAAUAGCGUAUAUUAAAGUUGUUGCGGUUAAAAAGCUCGUAGUUGGAUUUCUGCUGAGGACGACCGGUCCGCCCUCUGGGUGUGCAUCUGGUUAUGCCUGAGCAUUAUCUUGGAAAACACAACUGCACUUGACUGUGUGGUGUGGUAUCCAAGGCUUUUACUUUGAGGAAAUCAGAGUGCUUCCAGCAGGCACAUGCCUUGAAUACAUUAGCAUGGAAUAAUAAGGUAAGGCUUUUGGUUUUAUUUUGUUGGUUUUUAGAAUUGAGGCAAUGAUUAAUAGGGAUAGUUGGGGGCAUUUGUAUUUAACUGUCAGAGGUGAAAUUCUUGGAUUUGUUAAAGACAAACU
rnacentral:rRNA from 1 species